GCCGAGGUGGCGGAACUGGCAGACGCGCAGGUCUCAAAAACCUGUGGGCGCAAGCUCAUGUCGGUUCGACUCCGACCAGCGGCACCA
rnacentral:tRNA from 1 species